rnacentral:rRNA from 1 species
CUCGAAAGGCUAAAUACUCCUGUGUGACCGAUAGUGAACCAGUACCGCGAGGGAAGGUGAAAGAACCCGGAAGGGGAGUGAAUAGAACUGAAACCAUCAGCUUACAAGCAAUCGGAGCACGAUUUAAACGUGUGACGGUGUGCCUGUUGAAGAAUGAGCCGGCGACUUAUAGGUACAGGUAGAUUAAGGCGGGAAUGCCGAAGUCAAAGCGAAAGCGAGUCUGAAUAGGGCGUUAAUCUGUAUUUAUAGACCCGAACCCGGGUGAUCUAACCAUGGGCAGGAUGAAGCUUGAGUAACAUCAAGUGGAGGUCCGAACCGACUGAUGUUGAAAAAUCAGGCGGAUGACCUGUGGUUAGGGGGUGAAAUGCCAAUCGAACCCGGAGCGUAGCUGGUUCUCCCCGAAAUGUGUUGA